rnacentral:misc_RNA from 1 species
UUUCCGUAGGUGAACCUGCGGAAGGAUCAUUAAAAAAUGUGGUACCAAUUAUUGGUACUAAUUAAUCAUCCUACCCUUUGUGAAUUUGUUUGUAUGAAUUUUUUAAAUGGGUCUUUCCCUAAGUUGGAUUGUAGUAAAAUACAAAAAGACUUAGGGGAAUGACUUUUUUAAAAGACUUUUUUUUAAUUAAAACUUUUUGUAUUCAUUUGUCUAAAAUUAUUUUUAUAAUAUAAAAACAACUUUUGACAAUGGAUCUCUUGGUUCUCGCAACGAUGAAGAACGCAGCAAAAUGCGAUAAGUAGUGUGAAUUGCAGAAUACGUGAAUCAUCGAAUCUUCGAACGCAUAUUGCACUUUUUUAGUUUACUAAAAAAGUAUGUCUGUUUGAGUAUCAGUAAAAUAUUCUCACAACAUAUAUUGUUUGUGGUUAUGAGUGUUUUACAACGAUAAACAAGUUGUUUCACUUUUAAAUUCUUUUUAAUUGAAUUUUUACCAAUUCAUAAAUUAAAAUUGGAUAAAUUUUCUUUAACGAGGAAUAACCUAAACAAUUUUAAAUUUUAUGGAUUAAUAAACAUUCAUCAAAGGAAUCUAAUUAUACAUAAAUAACUUGAUCUCAAAUCAGAUAAGAGUACCCGCUGAACUUAAGCAUAUCAAUAAGCGGAGGAAAAGAACUAACAAGGAUUCCCUUAGUAACGGCGAGUGAAGCGGGAAGAGCUAAAUUUGAAAUCUUCAAGGUUUGACCUUGACGAAUUGUAGUUUAUAGAAGUGUUUUCUGUUGGAGUUUUGGUAAAAGUUCUUUGGAAUAGGACAUCAUAGAGGGUGAGAAUCCCGUAUUUGACCAUGACUUUCCAGCUGUGUGAUACACUUUCAAAGAGUCGGAUUGUUUGGGAAUGCAGUCCAAAAUGGGUGGUAAAUUUCAUCUAAAGCUAAAUAUUGGCGAGAGACCGAUAGCGAACAAGUACCGUGAGGGAAAGAUGAAAGAACUUUGAAAAGAGAGUUAAACAGUACGUGAAAUUGUCAAAAGGGAAGCGUUUGACACCAGUGUUGUUUUCUCGAAAAUCAAUUUAAUGAGUUCUUGUUUUUAAGUUAUUGUGACUUUAUCAGCGCAUUUCUUAUUUUACUUGACUCAUUGAAUGCACUUUUCGUUUAACAAGUCAACAUCAAUUUCUUUGGUGGUAAAAAGUUUAAAGGAAGGUGGCUUGGACUUCGGUUCAAGUGUUUAUAGCCUUUUUUCUAUGCCAUCGGAGAGAUUGAGGUCUGCAGCGUAGAUCCUUCGGGUUAGAUACCUCUGUGCUAAGUUAUAGUUUUUUAUAGACAACUUGUUGACUAUAAUUAACCCUGUAAUUUACUCGCUUAGGCUAUUU